CGCGAGCGCGGAGGGAGAGCGCGUGCGUGGGGGCGCGUGCGUGGUGGAGCGCGCGCGCCCCCGCCCCCUGCCCCUCCACGGCCUGGGGGUGGGGAGCCGUUGCGAGAGCUCGUGGAGAUGGCAUCUCCAUACUGUCUACUGAUAUUGAAACAUAUUUAGGCCUGUGGGAUGACUCAGCAGUUGGAGACAUAAGGAGACACUUCUUACCUCUUUCAUUUGGUUACCCAGCAGUGCCUUUUCUGGGAAAUGCAGAAUAAUAAAUGCAGUUCCUGUCCUUUGUCUGCCAGACUUCAGAAUAGCAACAUAGUUCCCUAUCAUCUCCUAAAGAUGUGCUCAAAAGGAGUGGAAGAUCGGAUUGGAUUGGAGACCUGCAAAAUCAUGCCUGGUACUGUAGUCCCAGUCAAA
rnacentral:lncRNA from 1 species